AUUGAACGCUGGCGGCAUGCUUUACACAUGCAAGUCGAACGGUAACAGGUCUUCGGAUGCUGACGAGUGGCGAACGGGUGAGUAAUGUAUCGGAACGUGCCCAGUAGUGGGGGAUAACUACUCGAAAGAGUGGCUAAUACCGCAUGAGAACUGAGGUUGAAAGUGGGGGACCGCAAGGCCUCACGCUACUGGAGCGGCCGAUAUCAGAUUAGGUAGUUGGUGGGGUAAAGGCCUACCAAGCCUGCGAUCUGUAGCUGGUCUGAGAGGACGACCAGCCACACUGGGACUGAGACACGGCCCAGACUCCUACGGGAGGCAGCAGUGGGGAAUUUUGGACAAUGGGCGCAAGCCUGAUCCAGCAAUGCCGCGUGCAGGACGAAGGCCUCGGUUGUAACGUAGCUUUGUACUAGAACGAAAAG
rnacentral:rRNA from 1 species